rnacentral:lncRNA from 1 species
UGAGCUUCGUGCCACUGCAGUCCAGCCUGGGUGAGGCUGAGACCCUGUCUCAAAAACAACAAUAAGAGUGGAGUGGUCUAUUUUCUUUAUGGAAGACCAGAACGGUAAAAGAGGAAUUGGCAAGUCAGCAGUGAAUUAUAUUACUGAGGUAAUGGGUCUUAAAAGAAACAAAAUAGCAAGAGUGCUUCUAGGGUUAAACUUUCCUAAGAGCAAACAUGAGACAAACAAGGUGCCUGUCUUUACUAGCCAAGAAUUAUCAUACUAGAAUGCUUUCAGCUCAGUAUUCCCAUCCACCUGUACUCCUCUGACACUGGAGCACCAUAGAAACACUCAGAUAGAAUUCCCACAGGUAAAGGAUCCCUUCCAGCAGCUCUGCCAGGGGAUAUAUGUCUUCAGCCAUCUGAGGGAACACUUUGGAAUCUCAAGAGAUACAGACUAUGGAAGAGAGUACCUGGAUCUAGUUUAUUCCAAAGACAGACAAGCAGUUUGUGCCUCCACUCCAGGAUGACUAACUACAACGAUUACACGUAAAAAGACAAAACAAGGCCGGGCGCGGCGGUUCACGCUUGUAAUCCCAGCACUUUGGGAGGCCGAGGCAGGCGUAUUACGAGGUCAGGAGAUCGAGACCUUCCUGGCUAAGACGGUGAAUCCCCGUCUCUACUAAAAAUACAAAAAAUUAGCCGGACAUGGUGGCGGGCGCCUGUAGUUUCAGCUACUCGGGAGACUGAAGCAGGAGAAUGGCGUGAACCCGAGAGGCGGAGCUUGCAGUGAGCUGAGAUCGCGCCACUGCACUCCAGCCUGGGCGACAGAGCGAGACUCCGUCUCAAAAAAAAAAGAAAAAGAAAAAGAAAAAAAAAAAAACCUUGCUACACUAAGUUCCUGAGGGCCAAGGAAAGCCAUUUAGAUCUUUGGGUUUCAUUUGCUUCACUUAAGCAUCUUUAUUUUUGCACUUGAACGUCUGGCAGAGCAUUUUGAUGAUGAUGAUGCACAAAUACUACGAAUAAAUGGAUGCGUGACUAGCUAAAUAGAA